rnacentral:sRNA from 1 species
AUGUACAACUCGUACAUGCCCGCUCCUCCGCCCCGUCCGCACCCACCUGACGACUAAUCGCUACGUUUUGUCAGCC